AAAGAAAAUAACAAUGAUUCCCCUAGUAACUGCGAGUGAAGAGGGACAAGCUCAAAUUUUAAAUCUAUCGGGUUUUACCCGAUCGAGUUGUAAUUUGAAGAAGCGUUUUCUGCGUUUUUGGUCAGCCCAAGUCCUAUUGAAUGAGGCAUCAUGGAGGGUGAUAAUCCCGUCCGGUUGAUCAUUUGCGUUUUACGAUACGCUCUCUAAGAGUCAAGUUGUUUGGGAUUGCAGCUUAAAAUGGGAGGUAAAUUUCUCCUAAGGCUAAAUAACGGCGAGAGACCGAUAGCGAACAAGUACCGUGAGGGAAAGAUGAAAAGAACUUUGAAAAGAGAGCUAAACAGUACGUGAAAUUGUUGAAAGGGAAACGAUUGAAGCCAGUCGUACCUUCGGGUAAUCAGCCUUUCGGGUGCGAUUCUGUGGAGUGUGAGGAGCUUAACACCUUCAUGCUUUGCAUAUUUGUGCUCUUGGGUGUACUUGCCCGUGUGGUUGGUUAACAUCAAUUUUAAUUAUCAUAAAAUGACUGGAGGAAUGUAGCUUCGAUCUCGUAUUGAAGUGUUAUAGCCUUCGGUAGAUGUGAUGAUCGAGAUUGAGGAUUGCAACGGAUACCCUUCGGGGCUACCUGUCUGGUCUCUGAUCGUUGCUCUGGUGCCGAAAGCGUGCUUACGGUUAUCAAAGUCGAUGGUCAAUAGGUUAGAACGGGUUAAAUU
rnacentral:rRNA from 1 species